rnacentral:misc_RNA from 1 species
CCUUAGAUACCUUGGGCCGC